ensembl:snoRNA small nucleolar RNA SNORA23
UUAUUCAUCUUUCCAUUUAUCUAUCUUUUCAUUAAAGCUUUCUUCCACACAAACAUCAUGCAGCCAAAGAGUAAGUUGGGAUCAUAGUACUGGUCUAGUGUUGUCUCAUUGGACAUAAUUUACCACUGGCCAGCCUCCAAAUUCCCAUACAAAA